rnacentral:pre_miRNA from 1 species
CUAUAAUUUAUUGAUCAUCAUUAAUGGGGUUAAAACACGCAACAACGUCGAAUUCCGGCCCAAUCACCUAGAGGUUAAACGUUCGUCUCGGAUUCGAGUCCCGAGUGCAUGAUCAUGGAUACACA